CUCCAACAAGGAGGUUCUGUUUGAUGUGUUCCAGAGUGAAAGAUGUCUCCAAUAAGGAGGUUCUGUUUGAUGUGUCCAAUAAGGAGGUUCUGUUUGAUGUGUUCCAGAGUGAAAGAUGUCUCCAAUAAGGAGGUUCUGUUUGAUGUGUCCAAUAAGGAGGUUCUGUUUGAUGUGUUCCAGAGUGAAAGAUGUAUCCAAUAAGGACGUUAUGUUUGAUGUGUUCCAGAGUGAAAGAUGUGUCCAAUAAGGAGGUUCUGUUUGAUGUGUUCCAGAGUGAAAGAUGUCUCCAAUAAGGAGGUUCUGUUUGAUGUGUUCCAGAGUGAAAGAUGUCUCCAAUAAGGAGGUUCUGUUUGAUGUGUUCCAGAGUGAAAGAUGUGUCCAAUAAGGAGGUUCUGUUUGAUGUGUUCCAGAGUGAAAGAUGUGUCCAAUAAGGAGGUUCUGUUUGAUGUCUCCAAUAAGGAGGUUCUGUUUGAUGUGUCCAAUAAGGAGGUUCUGUUUGAUGUCUCCAAUAAGGAGGUUCUGUUUGAUGUGUCCAAUAAGAGGUUCUGUUUGAUGCCUCCAAUAAGGAGGUUCUGUUUGAUGUGUUCCAGA